rnacentral:misc_RNA from 1 species
GAUAAUUGGUACUAGCUUUCUGUUGCAAAGGAAAUAAAAACAUAGGCAGAAGCUUAAAGUUCUUGAUGGAUUAAACAUGAGGAAUUGAAAAUGCUGAUUUGAAAAAAAGGCAUAGUGCAGCCAUAACCUAAAACUACACUUUAAAAAGUUCGACCAUAGAGACAAGUAAAUACAGAUGCCUUGGUCUAAUGAGAUCAUCAAUUAAUAUAUUUGAGGAUGUAGUACCUCCUAAGUACUUGUGAUCAUGA